rnacentral:rRNA from 1 species
ACACGACUACAUUAGAUACCCCCGUAGUCCAGGGUGUAAACGCUGCGGGCUUGGUGUUGGGGGUCCUUUGAGGGCGCCCAGUGCCGGAGAGAAGUUGUUAAGCCUGCUGCUUGGGGAGUACGUCCGCAAGGAUGAAACUUAAAGGAAUUGGCGGGGGAGCACCGCAACGGGAGGAGCGUGCGGUUCAAUUGGAUUCAACGCCGGACAACUCACCAGGAGCGACGGUUACAUGAAGGCCAGGCUGAUGACCUUGCCUGAUUUUCCG